UGGGGAAUUUUGGACAAUGGGGGAAACCCUGAUCCAGCCAUCCCGCGUGUGCGAUGAAGGCCUUCGGGUUGUAAAGCACUUUUGGCAGGAAAGAAACGUCAUGGGUUAAUACCCCGUGAAACUGACGGUACCUGCAGAAUAAGCACCGGCUAACUACGUGCCAGCAGCCGCGGUAAUACGUAGGGUGCACGCGUUAAUCGGAAUUACUGGGCGUAAAGCGUGCGCAGGCGGUUCGGAAAGAAAGAUGUGAAAUCCCAGAGCUCAACUUUGGAACUGCAUUUUUAACUACCGGGCUAGAGUGUGUCAGAGGGAGGUGGAAUUCCGGGUGUAGCAGUGAAAUGCGUAAAUAUGCGGAGGAACACCGAUGGCGAAGGCAGCCUCCUGGGAUAACACUGACGCUCAUGCACGAAAGCGUGGGGGGCAAACAGG
rnacentral:rRNA from 1 species